rnacentral:rRNA from 1 species
UACAGAGGGGGCAAGCGUUAUUCGGAAUUAUUGGGCGUAAAGGGCGCGUAGGCGGCUUUUCAAGUGACGGGUGAAAUCCCUCGGCUUAACCGAGGAACUGCCUGUCAGACUGGAAGGCUUGAGACCGGGAGAGGUGAGUGGAAUUCCCAGUGUAGCGGUGAAAUGCGUAGAUAUUGGGAGGAACACCAGUGGCGAAGGCGGCUCACUGGACCGGAACUGACGCUGAGGAGCGAAAGCGUGGGGAGCGAACAGG